AUGAUCCAGUAUUGUUCUGAGAUCUGGGGAGGGCAAGAACUAAGAAACCACCUCAUUUGGCCUGUGUUGGGCACAUUUGAAAGGUGGACAUGUAACGAGUUGCUCUCUCAUAUAGAGAGCAAAGUUCCCUCAGAUCCCGAGGAGAAGGAAUAUGCCAGGCUCUGGUUAACUGCCAGAGUAGGGCUAUUCCCGGUAAAACAAAAGCAUGGAUCAAGGGUCGAAAACUGGGAACCCCUUGAUCAUUUGCCCCCUCCGUACCACGGACCAGCAGGGCCCCCUGCAGCGGACCAAGUGGUGCCAUCGGCACCCGCAGGCUCCGCAGAGCAACCUGCCGAGGUACUCACAUCUCGAGCGGGGGAGUCUGCACCGGCAGUGGUACCGGCAACGCGCCCGUUGCCCCCGCCUGUGGAAACCCAAGCUGCCGCAAUCUCCUCGGAGUCACUGCAGGCACAAGGCUGGGGAACACGUUACCCACAAUUACCAGACUGGCUGUCCCAGUCGGGGCCCGCACAUCUAAAUGAGAGAGUCCCUCCUGGUAAUCACGUAGCGGCGGAAUUCCCGCAAACAAAAGACAGAACCCACACGAACCCCAGUUCCCCGCCUGCGAGUAGAACCCGGUUAAAAGUAAAAACGGGGGGUGAAGAGUGGGGAGAGAUUGGGAAUGGACACCAUAUGUUCCCUCUCAGAGAGGUACCAACAGCCCCAGGAGUUAUCGGAUUUGUAAAUGUUCCCCUUAAUUCAGGGGAUGUGCGGGCAUUUAAAAAAGAAAUGGGGCGGUUGUUGGAUGAUCCGUUUGGGGUGGCUGAGAGGUUAGAUGAAUUUUUGGGAAGUAGCAUUUAUACAUAUGAAGAUCUCAUGGCCAUCCUGAGAUCACUGUUUAGUCAAGAAGAAAGAGAAAUGAUUAAACAGGCAGGUAUCAGAGACUGGGAACGGCGUAACCCGCAGGGGACGCCAGGCGACCAAAAGUGGCCCAGCGUGAGCCCGAGUUGGAACGCCCAGACGGAGGGAGGUAGGAGAAGCAUGAUUGAUCUGAGAAAUACAAUCGUGCAAGGAAUAAGGGAGGCAGUCCCCUGA
rnacentral:lncRNA from 1 species